UUUCUUUCUUAGUGUCAGACCUGUAGAAAAGAGCCGGAUUAAUUUGGAUAAAUGGAUUUAAGAUGCUAAGAUCCAGUUUAAUUGCUAAUUUGUAUGCACAGAUUCAGUAAAUAACAAAAAGAGUACAACCUGGAGCGUAGCACGGGUUACUUCCUAGUCUUACAGAAAGGAAUUCUUUAAUGGAGUUCUCUCUCAAGUCUCAACAGGGGAUCAAAAUUGAAGAAGAAGAAGAAGUAGUGUGUAGAAGAAGAUAACAUGAGAAGAAGAAAGAACUGAAUCAAAAAUGGGUAAUAAGAUAGCAAGAACAACACAAGUAUCAGCAUCAGAGUAUCAUCUACAUGAUUUACCAUUUUCAUAUAAUUUAGUAGAUGUAUUAGCUCGUGGUCGUUUUUUCCAAUCAAUUCAAUGUAAACAUGAUGAAGGUCUUGUUCUUGUUAAAGUUUACUGCAAACGUGGUGAUUCUAUUGAUUUGAAAGAAUAUGAGCGUCGUUUGUUUCAAAUUAGAGAUGUUUUUAGGUCUCUUCAACAUCCUCAUGUUUAGCCUUUCCAAUUACUGUUUGCAGUGAAGCAGAGUCAUGAAAAUGGUGUUUGCCAUGGUGUGGAAGGAUUGAUGGUGAUAUAAAAUGUGAGAAUGUAUUGGUUACGUCUUGGAAUUGGCUUUAUCUUGCUGAUUUUGAUCGUUUAAACCCACUUAUAUACCACAUGACUACCCUUCGGAUUUCUCUUUUUUCUUUGACACUGGUGGGCGGAGGAGAUGCUAUCUUGCUCCCGAGAGAUUUUAUGAGCAUGGUGGUGAGGGGCAAGUCACACCAGAUGCACCUUUGAGUCAUUCUAUGGAUAUCUUCUCUUUAGGAUGUGUUAUACCAGAGCUAUUCCUUGAGGGACAACCUUUGUUUGAGCUAUCCAAGCUACUUGCUUACCGAAGAGGACAAUAUGAUCCCAGCCAAUCCCUUGAGAAGAUCCCAGAUUCUGGAAUCCGCAAGAUGAUUCUUCAUAUGAUUCAGUUGGAUCCUAAAUCACGACUAUCUGAUGAUUCUUUCCGUGUUACUUCUCUCCAUUUCUUCAUAAUUUUCUUUUCCUGCUUCAUUCCCCUUGAUUCUGAUACGAGGGUUGCAGUGACACAGAGUGCUUUUCAUGAUAUACAUAAGCAAAUGAAGAACAAUAGAUUAAAUGUAGAGAUAAGGGGUGGAAUAUCGCGCACAUGCUCUCUCUCAGAAAGUGAGCGUUCUCCCCAAGUGAUGGAGGGUGGAAACCUUAUCUUGAAUUCACCAAAGGAGUCCUCAAAAAAGAAGGGAGAGCUAGAUUAAGGUUUGUUUGGUAAUCAGUUUCAACUACUUGGUGAUAUUUCGACCCUUAUUAAGGAUGUAGAACAAAGAAAUCAUUCUUCCAAUGCCGUUCCAUGCUUGAAAAUGCGAGAUCCACAUAUGCUUCAGUUCUCAGGCGCUCCGGUAAGCAUUCUCCAACUAAGAUUCUCAACACUAAAUCGAAGGAGUUUCAAGGUAGUGAUCAUCCUGUUCUGAAAAAGAUCACCAAGGGUGAUUUGAAGGAAUUAUCCUUGAAGUAUGACAGCCAGUCGGAUACCUUCUUAAUUCCUUCUAUCCCAGUACUCGAACAUAGUUUGAGCUGUGACGAUAUGGUUCUUAUUGCAUCGUUGCUAUGUUCAUGCUAUAGAUGAUACCUAACAGCCCAGACUGGAUCCUUUCCUGCAUCUCACACGCAAGGCUUCAUUGGAUUUCUCGGACUCUUGAUGUUUGUUUGUGCGUUUGUUACCACUGGGGUUUCUGCCCCCACUGUUUGCCAGACAAAAUAUUUCAUCAAAAUUAACCAAAGAAUCAAUGCAACUCAACAGUAAAAUGAAAUAGCAUAUGAGCAAACUGAUCAACACUAAUACAUAAAGCAAGUAUAAAAGGCCGAUAGUUUAAAACUUCAACCUUCCUGUGUAGCCUCUCACAUCAUCUGCAUUUCCUCCAGAUAGAGCGAUGGCCCAUUUAUAAUUGCAUUUGAUGAAUGGAAAUGUUAAAAACAGUAUUGAGAUUUAGGGUUACCUCAUUGGAUUGGAGUCAGAAAAGUAUAUAUCUUGUUGUUAAGCAAAAGCACCAGCAGAAAUAUUCAAGACACUACUGUAUUGCAAAUGAUUGUUUUCAGUCGUAUGAUCAGACGAGUGGAUUAUCCGAAGGUUUUUCAUUUCUAGCAGAUUUCAUUUUUUCUUAAUGGGAUGUUGGAUAGAGAACUAUACGAGGACUAGGAGGAUAAGGGUUAGACACUUCCAGGGGCAGUACAGUAAAUUCGACGUCGAAUUUAGGAGAGGGGCGGAGAAUUUGAGAGUAAAUUUUAAAGAUGAUGAAGAUUGAAGAUAGCAGAGGAAAAUGAAAUGUGAAUUCAAUAAUCUAGAUUUUGAGUAGCUUUAUAGUGGAUCGGAUCCAGUUAUUUUUUAAAUCAUUGUGAUGUUUCAUUGAAACAUUGCGACUCUUCGGAAUUUUUUAACACAUUCAAAUCCUUAGUAUAACCAUGGCAUUGUAUCCAUAGAAAAUAUUACUCAAAGUUUUGUGCACCUUACAAAAGACUACAGCAACUCCAACAAAAUGUAGUAUCAUGCCUUGUCAUUUCUUACUCUAAUUUUCGAAUUUUGAUUUAUUCCUUUUUCAAAACCCAAAAUUUGUUUUGUGUUGUUUGUAAUCCGUUGUGGUGAUUAGUUGGAUGAAAGUGAAAGACUGAUAGGAUCCUGAUACUGGUGUUAGUAUCCCAACAAAGAAAAGGGAUCCAAGUCUUUUUAGACAAUGCUGCUCCACUACUUGUUCAAUGUCACGUAAAGGUACGUGCACUAAUCAGACUCCGUGUGGUAAUAAUUUUUUGCUGAAAAUGCUUUGAGAAAUGGGCAAGACAAAGGUAAAGAAUGUGUCAAGUUCGGCAAACAAUCUGAGGAUUAACUCAGCCCUCGUUGUUGCAAUACGUGUGCAAAGGUAGCACAGUAAAACUGGUUCAAGGGAGACUGAGGAGACAGUCUAUGAACAUGUUCAUAAUCAGAAUAAACCAGAUAACGCUUAUACAACAUAGCGGGCAAAGAAAUCUGGAAAGGCCAAUGCUUGCAGUGGAAAGAUCUUUGUCACAGUCCCACACUGGAUGGAAGCUACUCAAAAUCUAGAUUAUUGAAUUCACAUUUCAUUUUCCUCUGCUAUCUUCAAUCUUCAUCAUCUUGAUAUCUUUAAAAUUUACUCUCAAAUUCUCCGCCCCUCUCCUAAAUUCAACGUCGAAUUUACUGUACUGCCCCUGGAGGUGUCUAACCCUUAUCCUCCUCGUAUAGUUCUCUAUCCAACAUCCCAUUAAGAAAAAAUGAAAUCUGCUAGAAAUGAAAAACCUUCGGAUAAUCCACUCGUCUGAUCAUACGACUGAAAACAAUCAUUUGCAAUACAGUAGUGUCUUGAAUAUUUCUGCUGGUGCUUUUGCUUAACAACAAGAUAUAUACUUUUCUGACUCCAAUCCAAUGAGAAAUCAAACAAAAAUCGUCAGAAAUGCAUGCUAUGCUAUCAUGGGUAGAGUUUAAAUUACUGGCUUGUUCCCCCCCUAGAGUGUGUGUUGGUGGUCUUUAUCUAGCUUGGGAAAACAGUGAGUUAAUUAUAGUGAUUUCUGGAUUCUAACAUGUUUUUAUGGUGGCCCGUUUAGAGAUUUUAAAUAUGAUUCCAAUAAAUUGAUUAAACAAAUGGCUAGUUGCAUCAUCAAACCUUGGUUAAUUGUAGGUGAUUGUAAUUUUGUGCCUUUGGAAGAAGAAAAACAGAACCAACACCUUUUAAAUUCUGUUGAGGCAGAUGUGUUCAACCUUGGUUUACUUGAC